rnacentral:lncRNA from 1 species
CAAGUUUGAAAGGGAGUAUUAUUAUACACAGAGACGUAAGUUACAAAUACUUGGGAGCACCAGUUUGCUCCCCAUUUCAUAACAAAGGAGGCUUUCAACACAGUGCGCUUCUACAGACUUGAAGCAUUCCACCACAAAUAGCUGCUACAAGGGUUUGAAGACAGGAAAUACAACAGGGAGUAAGUGCAUGGUGGCUCCUUACCCCCAAAGCACCAAGCUCUGGCUCAGCACCACUCCUGUGUAGCUUACAGGGGUGCCCUGAAGGUCUAUACCCUGCAGUGUGGGUUGUACACACAGAGGAGCACCCAACUCAAGUGAUGGCUGCUCUGGAUCUAAUGUAACAGCAGGCUGCAGCCUUCCCUUGGGAUCAAACCUUGCUCCCUGAACAGUGGGAUACAGACAUGGGCUCCUCUGCUGGGAGAAGGGACUGAGAUGGAUGAAGGAGAGAAGGGGAGUUUGAAGCCAGUCACAGCAUGCAAAGGGCUCUGCUGGUGCCUGUUUUCCGUGCUCUAAGGAAAGAUUAAACCCAAGCUCCUGCAAUCCCAGCUCCUGGGGUCUGAUCCUGAGCCUGCUGCUGACUGAAGAGCACAGGCACGUCAACCUACUCCAUCUCCCUAUGCCCCAGCUCCUCCUGUGUAAGCACAGCGGAGAUGCUGCUACUAGAUGCCCAAUGCAGCUGCAGGAGCAGCAGGGGAUGCAGAGCCCAGGCAGCUCUGGUGCCACCACCCAUCCCUGUCACAGCACCCCAGUGAAGCACUGGCUCUGGAGCUGCACUCCUCAGAGCAGAACCCACACCUUAUGUCCAUCAGCAGGGCUGAACACUGGGUUAUGUGCAUUAUAUCAGAGAUGAGGGUGCACAGAGGGUGCUGAGCAGAGGAGAAGUGUAAGCGCAUCCUUCCAAAGCCACAUCCACUGUCUGUAAGGACUGUGCUACACCGUUACCCUUGCAUGGAGCUGGCAGUGUCAUGGUGUGCAGUCUAUCUCAGAAUGAUGCUUUUCAGCCUCUUGAUGACACCCCUAAUCCAUGAUUGGAGCUCCAAACCCAUUAAAUCCGUAAGGAAACAAUAAGCAAGCACACCAAGAGCACGUGGGAAGCCACCAAGCUCAACAGGGCCACAAAGUGGCCCCUUCUCCCACUCCUCAAGAGAGCUGAUGGAGUGAAUGGAAGUAGUAAGAACAAGAAGGGAAACGAGCCUGGUAGUGAAAGACACAUAC